UGGAAGUCGAGCGAUGAAGCUUUCUAGCUUGCUAGAAGGCUGAUUAGUGGCGCACGGGUGAGUAACGCAUAGGUUAUGUGCCUCUUAGUUUGGGAUAGCCAUUGGAAACGAUGAUUAAUACCAGAUACUCCCUACGGGGGAAAGAUUUAUCGCUAAGAGAUCAGCCUAUGUCCUAUCAGCUUGUUGGUAAGGUAAUGGCUUACCAAGGCUAUGACGGGUAUCCGGCCUGAGAGGGUGAACGGACACACUGGAACUGAGACACGGUCCAGACUCCUACGGGAGGCAGCAGUAGGGAAUAUUGCUCAAUGGGGGAAACCCUGAAGCAGCAACGCCGCGUGGAGGAUGAAGGUUUUAGGAUUGUAAACUCCUUUUGUUAGAGAAGAUAAUGACGGUAUCUAACGAAUAAGCACCGGCUAACUCCGUGCCAGCAGCCGCGGUAAUACGGAGGGUGCAAGCGUUACUCGGAAUCACUGGGCGUAAAGAGCGCGUAGGCGGGAUAGUCAGUCAGGUGUGAAAUCCUAUGGCUUAACCAUAGAACUGCAUUUGAAACU
rnacentral:rRNA from 1 species